UACGUAGGGUGCGAGCGUUAAUCGGAAUUACUGGGCGUAAAGCGUGCGCAGGCGGCUUUGUAAGACAGAUGUGAAAUCCCCGGGCUCAACCUGGGAACUGCAUUUGUGACUGCAAGGCUAGAGUACGGCAGAGGGGGAUGGAAUUCCGCGUGUAGCAGUGAAAUGCGUAGAUAUGCGGAGGAACACCAAUGGCGAAGGCAAUCCCCUGGGCCUGUACUGACGCUCAUGCACGAAAGCGUGGGGAGCAAACAGG
rnacentral:rRNA from 1 species